GAAAAAUAACGAUACGGGACUCAUCCGAGGCCCCGUAAUCGGAAUGAGUACACUCUAAACCCUUUAACGAGUAUCCAUUGGAGGGCAAGUCUGGUGCCAGCAGCCGCGGUAAUUCCAGCUCCAAUAGCGUAUAUUAAAGUUGUUGCGGUUAAAAAGCUCGUAGUUGGACUUGUGUCCCACUCUGUCGGUUCACCGUUCGUCGGUGUUAACUGGCAUGCCUGUGUGGACGUCCUGCCGGUGGAUGCGGUCGGCCGUGGGCCUCUGGUCUGCGUGUCGGCGGUCCGAUGCAAUCCUACCGCGGUGCUCUUCACCGAGUGUCGAGGUGGGCCGGCACGUUUACUUUGAACAAAUUAGAGUGCUCAAAGCAGGCAGUGGUUCGCCUGAAUAUUGUGUGCAUGGAAUAAUGGAAUAGGACCUCGGUUCUAUUUUGUUGGUUUUCGGAACCUGAGGUAAUGAUUAAUAGGGACAGACGGGGGCAUUCGUAUUGCGACGUUAGAGGUGAAAUUCUUGGAUCGUCGCAAGACGAACCUAAGCGAAAGCAUUUGCCAUGAGUGUUUUCAUUAAUCAAGAACGAAAGUUAGAGGUUCGAAGGCGAUCAGAUACCGCCCUAGUUCUAACCAUAAACGAUGCCAGCUAGCGAUCCGCCGAAGUUCCUCCGAUGACUCGGCGGGCAGCUUCCGGGAAACCAAAGCUUUUGGGUUCCGGGGGAAGUAUGGUUGCAAAGCUGAAACUUAAAGGAAUUGACGGAAGGGCACCACCAGGAGUGGAGCCUGCGGCUUAAUUUGACUCAACACGGGAAACCUCACCAGGCCCGGACACCGGAAGGAUUGACAGAUUGAUAGCUCUUUCUUGAUUCGGUGGGUGGUGGUGCAUGG
rnacentral:rRNA from 1 species